ensembl:lncRNA
AGAAGGCCAAACAGAGGAGUUCUAGCCAGAUCCCAAAGGAAAGAUUUUUCCUCCUUUUGUAAGUGAUUCUGCAGAAGUGAAAGAAACAACUACAAUUCACCACUCCGCCGUUUCCAGCAACAGACAAGGCAUUAAAAGGCUCAAAUCACCCAACAGCACUUACGCCAUACAUCGGAUAAAUGAAAUAAUUAAAAAGAAUGUCGUUUUUGCACAGAAUGAUGGCAGAGAAUUUGACCACACUGAUGUGCCUGUCAUAGAGCUAGAGAAAUUUGGGUGCAGCUGAUUCUCUCAGGUGAAAAAAAUGUCAAGUAAGGGCAUGAGCUAAGAUUUAAGGAGACUCAAAUUCUCAGCUGUACUACCAGCUUGCUGGAUGAGCUGUUACAAAGUAUUUUCCCAAGCAACUUGCUUUUGACCUGGCACAUGAGACUGACUCACAUGAAUGAGCUGAGCAGCACAAUGGGGACAAAUCCAGUUUGAAAGGAAAGGAGACGACACUGGUGCAGAACUGCAGAGAACAUGGCUUCUGAAUGAGUCUGAGGAGGAGGCACUAUCACAGACUCUUGCAAACAUUUCAAGACACUGUGCAUCAGCCAUGUUGUCAAGUCUAACAGAAACCCAGCAAACAUCAUUUAUAUCAAGGCCUUUGUAGAGCUAUGUCAUUAAAACAUCAGGAAGGUUGAAGGAUGACUUUUCUUAAGUUGAUAUGAUUCUGAACAAUACAUCGAGUAUCAAGAUAAAAGAUUUUUUCUGUUUGACUGUUCUUGUACAAGACAGACACGUCUUGUGAAAUGAUUCCAAACUCAUUAUUGCUAUCCUUGCACUUCUCCAUAGCCAUAUUACAGCUGGACUAGCUCACAUCGAGGAUGCCCACAUUAAAAGAUAACAGCAUCCUUUGGUAGCAGAAACUAUAGGCUUUCAGCAUUCUCUGGCUUUCAUGGUUUGACUAGCUCUGAACAUUAUACCAAAACUCAGCAAGAUAACUAAAGAACAGAAUGUACCAACAUUCACAAAAGGCAAACAUCUAAUAUGAACACAUUGCUGUUAAUAUCCUUUAGUAUUCAGUUUUAAUGAAAUUCACAGACACAGACUGUCCUUUAGCACAAAUGUAUUCAAAACUAGUAAUUCCUUGUUCUUGUUCCACCUUUAUUCCACUUCCACCAUGGUAGUCUAACACUUCUCAACUCAGAUUACAGCUUCACGAGAGAGAAGUUUGUGUCCAAAUACUCCAAUGGGUGACUUCCACCUUAACUGGAGAAUCCUGGGUAAUGGAAAACAAGUUUUUCCAACAAGACUGGACAGUGGCAAGUCCAAUCAUCUGCCACAAGACAGGGAAAAGUCAUACAGGCCACCAACAAUGGUUGCGCCUGCACUCCCUGGGAUCUUCCUUCUAGCAUUGGUAGUUCAGACAAGCCAUCAACUACCAAAUCAAUCCAGCCACACCACGCAAGAUACAUGACAACCUCAGGACUUGAACUGCUACAUCUAUCUUCAGCACCUAGGACCGCACAUCCAUAGUGAGCAUGAAAGCACUACUACAAUCUGUGGGGCAUAGUUAAGGUAUAUUUUCAAUUGCAUUUUUACAUAGUCUCCAAGCUGGAGAUAUAGUUUAAAAGGCCUCACUGCUCCAGCUGUGUGUUCAUGUUUUUUUUUUUUACUCUUCUCUGCAUCUUGAAAAGCAAAAUCUGAUCAGACAUCUAACUAGGAUAGAAAUAUUCAUGCAGUCUGUUCUAGGUGGGUUAUGUAUUGUCAAAUACUAUACAACAGCGAAUGCUACAACCUUAUCACCUGCAGAUGCAGUUGAAUGGCAGCACAAAUCCAGUUUUUUAAAUGCACUAAUUUAAAAACAUCUGAGAUUUGCCCACGAGUUCUACUCAACAUCCCAUAAUGCUAGACGGUUUUCUUCCUCUAACAUUCUUGAUUAUUAAAAAA